UACGUAGGGGGCAAGCGUUGUCCGGAUUUAUUGGGCGUAAAGAGCUCGUAGGCGGUCUGUCACGUCGGCUGUGAAAUCCCGAGGCUCAACCUCGGGUCUGCAGUCGAUACGGGCAAACUAGAGUAUUGCAGGGGAGACUGGAAUUCCUGGUGUAGCGGUGAAAUGCGCAGAUAUCAGGAGGAACACCGGUGGCGAAGGCGGGUCUCUGGGCCAAAACUGACGCUGAGGAGCGAAAGCGUGGGGAGCGAACAGG
rnacentral:rRNA from 1 species